rnacentral:rRNA from 1 species
UGAGGAAUAUUGGUCAAUGGGGGCAACCCUGAACCAGCCAUGCCGCGUGAAGGAUGAAUGCCCUAUGGGUUGUAAACUUCUUUUGUUAGGGACGAAACUAUGAUACGUGUAUUGUACUGACGGUACCUAAUGAAUAAGCAACGGCUAACUUCGUG